CCGCAGUGUUUGACUGGAACUGUUUUUACUCGAUGAAAAGCGAGCACGUACACUGGCCACUAGGUAGCAGCAUCGCGCCACAAAACAAGGCCCUUCCUGUCCCGGGUGGUGACUGGUCCACACCGAGCGCUGACUUGCUCCUGGUGGUGUUCUAGGUGCCCGUUUUCUAUCUCAGCUGCCCUCGGAGAUAAGCAGAAGGAGGUUGUGCUUGAUGUCAUAAAAGGGCUACAAUUUCUGCUGACGGAGGCCCUUUGCUGGAAUAGCCACCAGACUGACCCUGCGGCAGCUGGGCUGGACAGGACCAACUUGGCUGGAGGCAGAACGCGUCUGUGGCCCCCUCCAUCCACUUUCUGAGGUGUUCGACUGCCUCUCCUUCUGCAGAUAAGAGGAAAAUAUGUAACAAGGCCAGAAGGAAGUAAACUAAUUUGGACGUAAUGAAACCGGCUGCAAGCUUUUCUGCCAGUGAGGCUAUGGCUCCGUGUGGCUGAGGAAUACACUGAAAUAAUCAAGAGGGAGGAACUAGCAGACUGAACACCUGGCAGAAAGCAGGGGAAGUAAGGUGAAGCUGAUGGAGACCCAGCGAGGUACGAAGGCACGUGUCCCACCCCCCGAAGUUCUGUGUCCGGCCAGGACAGACAACCAAGUCCCAAGAGGGGAGGGCGGAGGGCAUGACAGUCGUCACAGAACUACUUUAAAAGGGGCAGUGUGGACACUUGAGUUAGAAUAACUGAUAGCCAGGAAGAAUGUGAGAUGUGACACCUAAGCCUGUCUGGUCACUAGUGUACUAGCGAGAGGAUUCACCGCACAGUUAUAGGAGAACUGUUCACACAGGCGCCCUGAGACCACGGUUCUCCGGCAGGGCAGGUGGGGGUCCCUCCCACCACUUACCUCCUGAUGAUGCAGCCCCCUCUCCACAUCAGGGCAAUGCCACCAUAGUUGAGGGUCCAGCCAAAUUCAGUGGCUGCCUGUCUUAGCAGCAUAAAGCCCUGAGCAUAAGAGAUGAUCUUGGAAGCAUAGAGGGCCUGGAGAAUGACACAAAGGCUCAUGAGAAGUGCACACGACCAGCCUUGUCCCCCUGCAGUGCUGCGAGUCCAUGCGGGCAAGGCUGGCCUGACCGCGCCUCCGUGCGUGGCGUCAGGGUGCUCUCCCACAGCACCCCCCACCCCCACUGCCGCUGCCAGGCCUGGCCCCACCUUUCGAAUGUCCUCCAGGAAUGAUUUCUUGUCACCUUCAAACUGGGUCUUCUGAGGCCCCUUCAGCUUUUUGCUCGCUUGAAUCCUCUCGUCCUUCAGAGAUGAUAAGCAUCGAGCAAAGACCGCUUCUCCUACAUGGGUUGGAGGCAGGGGGAGGUAAUAUGUCACCAGAGUUUACACAGAACCCGAGGAGCAGUACACAUGAGCCAGAGGAUGAAGGAAAAACAAAUGGAGCAAGAUUUUCCAUUUUACAAACAGCUGAAAGUCUCAACCUUAGGCCACAAAAGAUACCCUGGAUCACAAGGAACUUUUAUAAAAAAGCUCUGAACAGUUCAUUUGGAAACUAAAACUACAAGUCAGUCUUCCAACGUAAAUUCAGGGAUUCAACCACAAAGAUCACCAUGAAAUUCAAAGGGGAGUUUUUAAAGGAAAAUACGAAGAGGCAAAACCACCAUUAUUCAGAAUUAUUCAGUGUUGGUCCACCAGUAAAAUUUCAGUUUCAGCUGGGAAGAAUUUAAUUUUUAAAUGCUCACCAAAAACUCAGUUUAUUUUCUUUUGAAGCACUAAUACCCAACACUUUGAAACAACUAGGACACUGAGAAGUAACACAGACUUCACUCUUCAAAAACCUCCAUUUUCUAAUUCUUACAGUUUUCAGCAUAUCCAUGAUCACUGUUACAGUUUCACAAUUUUACUUCAUUUGAAUAAAAAGCAUUUCAAUAUAGUAUUUUAACAUUAAGACAUUUAGUAUCUUAAAAAUUAUCACUUAUAAAUGCUUGCCCAAUUGACAACUUGUAAAAUUAGAAUAAAUUAACCCUUUUUUCCCCCCAACAGACAAAAUGAAUUAAAAUCUUUGGGAACUAACUCAGGGCUUUAUUUCUGAGGAAAGGUUUCUGGCCAUAAACUUGAGAGUGGGUAUCUUCCUGUCCUUGUCCUCAUCCAGCUCUCUGGGGUCCUGCCGUGCAUAGACAUAGACAUAGACACACACACACCCCCAUGACUUCGCAUUUCUGGGCGGAAGCUUCGUAAGACAAAAGGCAGAAAGAGGCCAUUGUGGCGAAACCCUCAAUGUUACCUAAAGAUGAGCCGGAAGACUCACUUCCCCAUUAGUUCAGAGACAAGGACGGCUCCCGUCCAGGGAGUAAGCCUGCCUGCCGCCACCUGGAAGGCAGGGCGCAGAAUCUCUAAAGCAAGAGAGUAGGGGGGUCUCUGAGGCUGUGAUGCUCUUGUAUUUGAGUCAGUGAUGAAUAACCUGCUCCCAGUUCCUGUCUUGGUCCCCUGCCCAGGGUAGCACUCAGAUUAGCCAAAAGGAGUCAACUUCCUUCUCUAUCGAGCUGGACUAAGCAAAGGACUUCCCUCCUUACUGUGCCUCGCAGCCAUACAGCUCACGGUCAACAGAGUGAGGCAUAACCAGGAAAUGGAGAGAAGGGAGGAGACUAGGGAGGGAAAGGCAACCUCCAUCUGGAAAGCAAACACAGUAUCGAGUUUUAUUGCUACAGGGGGAAUCAUUCUGCAGGAGCAAAGAUCAGCCUUUCAUCAAACAUGCCAGUCCUAACUUGAUCAGAAAAGAAAGCUUCUCCUGCGCCUCCCACGUGGGACGAUGGGAGGAUCAAAUGAGAGCAUGGAGUUAAGUGACACAGGCCUGACACACGGUCAGGGUCCCUGCGUGGUGGAGAUCACCGCCAAGUCUCUGGCUUAGAAACUGGCUAUCAGACUUUCCAGCAUGACCAAGGGAAAAAGCGGGAGGAAGGAUUUUCUGUCACCAGCAAAUCCCUUCUCAUCUGCGCAGCGUUACUCACCCGGGGCCGGGGCCUCACCUGUGCCAUCUCCUUGUGCUCCAUGCCCAGGACGUCCUUCAUCAGGUGGUAAGCCUCACAGAUCAGCUGCAUGUCACCGUACUCUAUCCCGUUGUG